CUGGAAUAUUGCUAAAAGCGACGUAAAAUAUAACUCACUCAUUCAAUCAUCUUGAGGUAUUCCACGAAUCAGUGGUAGUGUAAUUAGAGGUACCCUAUGGAAAUCAUGGAAAACACCAGCACUGAGUACACAGCAGCGAUCGGGUUUCUUACGAAUGAGUGAGUCAACCAACCACUCUUUAUGAACGCAUGACUAAUGUCAUGGAGGAUGCCUCUCAAUACUCCACUGUGGUAUAAUAGGUCGCCGAGUUUAUAGCGUGGAUGUGCAUCGCUUCAGGUAGACUAGCAGAUAUCCUCACAGAUGAUCUCGUUGAAAUGUUACUAAUGUCUGAUCGGUGAAUAAAGGUGGACGAAUCAGCUUCUGAAUGUCA